GCGCGCGAGUGUAAUGAGCAAUCGCGGGCACAACGAAAAUGGCGAGUGUUGCUUUUUUUUGUCAUUCGUGCUUGUCAUUGACAGAAAUAACGUAUUCUAUGACGUACAAUAUGAAAGGAACAAAAAUACAAGCAUUGUGAAUUGAGCGCUAAUGAAAUAUAUAAAUAUUGUUAAUAUAGUUUUCUAUACAGUAAAUUUCAUUAGCAUUUAACAUUAAUAACUUGUAAGUUAUUUGCGAAGUAGUCAUUAUACUGAUCAAAUUAGUAAAAUCGAAAUUGCGUCACGUAUGUCUCGCACAAUCAAAUGUCUUAUUUGUGUGAACUUCAAAUUGAGUGAAAUCACAAGUUAAAUAUAUUAUACGUUAAAUUUUCAGCGUUGUCAAUGUACAAGAACGGUCGUUGACAUUGUCCGAUCAGGUUACACUGUCCUUAAGAAUCCUUUCCUCGUCUCUUCAUGCGUGCAGUAGCCUUUAGAAUGUAUGAAUUGCGCGCGCGCGCGCGUGCUCGCGCGAUGCCGAGUACGGGGCGAAGUAAAAGGGAAUCAAUCGGUGUGCGACUGGUUUUUCAUCAAAUAUGGUGUGGAAGUUUUCGAGCGGUUCACACUAUCGACAGGCUCAAAAGUCUGUGUGUACAAUCCUAGACGUUCUUUUCAAUCAAUCGAUUUCGAAAGUCGCCAGCCGAGUUUUCAAUUUUGAUUAAAAAUAGAUUUUUCGAAAUAAUAAUUCGAUUGAAAUCGAAAGGCAAGAAAUUUU